rnacentral:lncRNA from 1 species
AUGAAUGGACUCUUAAAGGUCAGAGCCCUGAGAGUAGGUUAUCCUGUAUAUUUCAGGCUAUAGGCAACAUUGUUUUACAAAAGCCACACAGCCAGCCUGACUCAGCACUGGCAACAGAGCAAGCAAACAGGUUAAAGUAAAAGAAAUAGAUUCAACAUGGACUCAAUUUUUUUUCUCCCCUAUUACAUGUUCAUAGUGAUGAUUUCCUGACUUUGCUCCAUCAGGACAAAGGUUUGUUAGAAUUACAAACAAGGGUCACUUCACCAAUCCCCACAGCUUCUCUGGGUCAGCUUAACCAGUUUUAUGCUCAAGAGGUAUUGCUAGAUGGUAUAAGAAGAGUCCCAGCAUGUUUUUCCUGACCUAGGCAAGGGACUGGUGAGAUUCUGAAAUAUCAAUAUCAGAAUCCUGGAAUUCACUGUGCCUGGAUCUUUGAGAACAUUACUGCAAAAUUUAGCAGCCUCCAAAGAUUCCCACAGAGAAAGAAAAUAUACCCAUAGAUUCUAGGUAUUUUUGCUCUGUUCUUUGCUUUUAAAAUGAAGGGCUUUCAUCAACAUUAAAAGAAAAAAUCCACUAGAAUAUUAGUAAAACACAUGUAAAGAUAUUUCACCGAAGUGAAUAUACAGAUGAAAAAUAAGCACACAAAACUGUCUUCAACAUUAUUAGUGAUUAGUGAAAUAGAAUUUAAGUCCACAUGUAAUAACACUGCCCAACAAAAAUUUUUAAAAAGUGAUAACUGCACCUCAAAAGGCUUUGUCUAGGAGAUUGGAAGUUCUUCACAGCCUUAACCUUCUGUUAGCUUGUGUAUAAAUAUCAUGAAAACGAAGCAAAAAUAAGGCUGGAGGAAUGUGGUUAAGGCUUACCAAGAGGACCAGAAUCUCUGAGGCUGCUUGCAAGUGUCUGUAGCAGGAAAAAAAAAAUGUAGCCACAUUUUUCCAUAUUAUUCACCAGCCCAGAGUAAUGUCCUGUAUUGUUUUUCUUUUGUUGUAGUUGUUCCUCCUUUUUUGGCCAAUUCAUUUUGGGGCUAGCACUGUCAUUCAUGUUUCAACACCAUGAAGCUUGUCUGGACACAAUGUUUGAUCAUGAGGGAGCUGGUUUGCUUCAAGGCCCUGCAUCCCCCCUGGAAAAGAGCUGGAAACAUACUCAAUGGAUACAAUGCAGCCAAGGUGGAUGUGAAGAGUAAUUGCAGAAAAUUUGAAAAUGCAGUGUGGCAAUGUUCCUAAAAAUAGGACACACUGGGAAAUGGGCUGAAAAGGAUUUUAUGUUUCUGAAAAACAUGAUGUGAGGAAUAGUAACAGUUCAGGCUGACACUGUUGGACACAUGAAUCACAUCUUUACAUUAGCAUUCAUGAGGGAGACCGGGAAAAGUGCAUGAAAAACACAGAUGGGCCUUUCAUGAUGGGAAGGGACGGGACUGCAGAAACAAAGUGCCUCACUGGAGAAAAUAAAAAGAAAUUAGUGUUAUUAAAAGAAAAGUGUAUCAAUGUGGUCUUUUUGUAAAACCUAAUGCUUUUCCUCAGCAAUUUCAAGAACAAUGUGUGUUCCUAAAAAUUGCCCCCUGUGCCUUUUCUCAUUUCCUCUGAGUAAUUCAGUACUCUGUUAUUUUUAGAAACCCCUUAUUUGUCUACUUAGUAGGAAUGUUUAUUAAAUUUGCUAUGAGUUAUCAAAAAUUUAUUCCAUAACUUUGAGAACAAGCCAAGUUAUUAGAAACUGUUUCUGGAUUUGCUGGAGAGAUUUCAUUUCCUUUGAAAUUUACGCAUUUGAUUGUAAUGCAUUUGAAAUGUCAGAAAGCUGGAUUUGUGUGUACUUUCUCCAUCUCUGACUUUCUGUUUUAAUAUGAAAUCUUGAACACAUUUGUUUGUUUGAUCUGAAUGUGUCAAUGGUGUAUUAGCUCAUGAAAUGGAACUCUCCUAACAGAGCAAAAUGAUGCUGAAUAUAUCAUGAUAAAACUAUAUGUUAGUGCAAAUAUGUAGAAAUUCCUUCAGUGACUGUAAUCAUAUUAGACAAUAUUAACUGUGAAUAUAUAAUCUACAUAUAUAUACUCUUUCAUAUUGCAACAUGCUGUUUUUCUUCAUCUCCAUGCUAACAAUGGUUUUAGAUAAUUUAUAUUGUCUACCACCAACAUAUUCCCAAUUCUGAUAGUUUUGGGGAUUUAGGAUGAUCAAGAUUUAAGUUUCUUAUGAGAAAGAAAUUGAUCUUAGUCCAUAUUCUCUUUUCUAAGGAAAGUUUUCAUUUUGAGAUAAGUUCAGAUUCACCUGUGGUUAUAAAAAUUAAUACAGAGAGAUCUUCUGUACCUUUAUUCAGCUUCCCCCAGUGGUAACUUCUUAAAAAGGCAGAGAACUGUACCUCAGUCAGAACACUGACAUUGAAUGAUGUAGACAUGGAACAUUUACAGUCAUCAUAACAGAACAUUUCCAUCACUGCAGAGAUCAUUUUACCAAUUUAUAGCCAUACUCAUGUCCUUCUUGACCCCUCCUCCACUUACUAACCUGGAGCAGCUACUAAUCUGUUCUCCACUUCUGUAAUUUUGUUAUAUCGAAUGUUAUAUAAAUUGAAUUAUAUGGUAUGUCACUUUGGGGAUUGUUUUUCUUCCACUCAGCAUCGUUCUCUGAGAUUCACCAAGGUCACUACAUGUAUCUGUAGUAGCCAGUUCCUUUUUAUUGCUGAGAGGUGUUACAUGUUACAGACAUACCACUAUUGCAUUAACCACUCACUGGUUAAAGGGUGUCUGGGUUGUUUCAGCUUUUGUCUCUUCCCAACCUAGCUCCUAUAAGCAUCUGUGUACAGAUUUUGUGUGAACAUGUUUUCAUAACUCUAGGAUAAAACCCCCAGUAAGGUAAGUACUAGGUUGUAUGGUAGUUACUGAUUUAGAUUUAAAAACACCUGCAGGAGUUCCCGUCGUGGCGCAGUGGUUAACGAAUCCGACUAGGAACCAUGAGGUUGCGGGUUCGAUCCCUGCCCUUGCUCAGUGGGUUAACGAUCCGGUCCGGCGUUGCCGUGAGCUGUGGUGUAGGUUGCAGACGCGGCUCGGAUCCCGCGUUGCUGUGGCUCUGGCGUAGGCCGGCAGCUACAGCUCCGAUUAGACCCCUAGCCUGGGAAACUCCAUAUGCCGCGGGAGCGGCCCAAGAAAUAG